UCAGUACCAGUGACGUCAGACCUUGCGACGAGCAAGCGACGCGCGAUAAUCACAAACUGUCUUUAGAACAUUUCUACACAUACAGUCGCUUGCGGCUGUUGAGUCAGCGGAAUGUGGCGUUUCGUCUUUGUGCUCCUGCUUCUUGGAGGUUGUGGUGCCCAUGGGGCCAUAUGGGACAUUACAAUUCAUACAUCUGACGAAAAAGACGCGGGAACAGACUCCGACAUCUAUCUUACUCUCCAUGGAUCUCGCGGAUCUUCUGCAGAAAUAAUGUUACCCGAUUAUUUCAACGACUUUGAGAGAAAUCAGAUCGGCAGAUUCCUUGUUACAACGGACGACAUUGGUGAAGUGUGCUCACUGACCGUCAGGAAUGCCGGUAACUACGGUAACCGUGACUGGCAUCUCCGAGAGAUUGUGGUUCACGGAAGUUCACAAAAGAAGUUUUGGUGCAACUGCUGGUUAUCAGAGUCAGAUGGAUAUCAGAGGGAACUCCAACCUGAUGUCCCAUGCUCCAGGCAGUAGAAAUAAGUAAAACGAUGUGGGUGCAGACUUUGAAUCCGGCACUGACUAAUCAGCAUAAAAGUAUUAAAGUAUCAUUUAGAAACGCAUACCUAUAUUAGAAAUCACCAGAGUUGAUUCACCUGAUGGAACACCUUGCUCAUCGGCUAACUGGAAGACAUUUAAAGAUAUAAAAAUGAACAUUCUUUAAAAUUGAGACAAAAAUUUGUUCUAUAGAAAGACACUAUAUUCAAUGAUCUUCAAAUUUAAUACUGCUUGAAUGUCAUUUAAAAAAAAAAUACAUUUUCUGAGUAUUAUCUAUUAUAGUCAGAAUUCUCAUUUAAACUACUUGAAAAAAACUUUUCUCAGAUAGUUAUUUUACAUUUGAUUAUUCUGUCACAAGAUGUAAUGAAAAGUUAGGAAGUACAUGUACACUAGCCAACCCUAAAGAGUAGUCAACUGUAGACGCUUCUGCAAAAGUCUACCUUAUAACCCAAGGUCUUUUACCCAACAAGCAAUUCUAAAGUGAACAAUUCUAUAAAAAGUAAAAGAGUGAAAAUAAUGUCUAAUUUGUCGAAAAAAAAGCGUGGUCUAAGAUUUUUAACUUUAUCGUUGUAAAUGUCAUCGAAAACGCAAGGUGAAAAUAAAAAAGUUGAAUCACAA